rnacentral:misc_RNA from 1 species
AACUUGUAACAACGGAUCUCUUGGCUCUCGCAUCGAUGAAGAACGCAGCGAAAUGCGAUAAGUAAUGUGAAUUGCAGAAUUCAGUGAAUCAUCGAAUCUUUGAACGCAUCUUGCGCUCCUUGGUAUUCCGAGGAGCAUGCCUGUUUGAGUGUCAUUCAACUUCUCAACCACAUCAAGUAUGUGGCUUGGACGUGGGGGUUGUUUGCAGGCUUUUUGUUCCACAGAAGGUCGGCUCCCCUGAAAUGUAUUAGUGGUAUCUGGGCUACUGCUUAUAGGUGUGAUAAAUUAUCUAUGCCUUUGGUAUGCUGCAUGAACAGAUUGCACUGCUUAUAAUGAAAAGAUUGAAUCUGACGAAUCUGACCUCAAAUCAGGUAGGACUACCCGCUGAACUUAAGCAUAUCAAUAAGCGGAGGCU